rnacentral:tRNA from 1 species
CGCAGUGUAGCUUAGUGGCAGAGUAUAUGCUUGACAUAUAUGAGACCCGGGGUUUGAUCCCCAGUACUGCCU